rnacentral:sRNA from 1 species
GGCCCUGCGGGGAGCAGAGCGGCACCACCAGCACAGUGUGCUACACGGGGCGCUGCAGGCGUGGGUGACUUACCAGGGCAGGGUGCGGAGCAUCCUCCAGGAGGUGGCAGCGAGGGAGAGCCAGCACAACAGGCAGCUGCUGCGCGGGGCAUUACGUCGCUGGAAAGAGAACACCAUGGCCCGAGUGGAUGAAGCCAAAAAAACCUUUCAAGCAAGUACUCAUUACAGAAGGACCAUAUGUUCCAAGGUGAGGUAUAAGGAGGCAAGCUGGUCACCCAGGAGAGCUUGGACUGUGUUCUGGUGAGGGAGUGGGAUGUAGGGGGUAGUGCCAGAGAUUUGAACUGAAUAAGGAACCUAGAAAAUGGGUAACUUUCCUCCAGCACACACACAAACAUCCAUGUGGGCACAUGUUUAGUUUUUUACUGAAUUACAAACCAAUAUGCAUUAAAUAGAAACAUAACACAUCAUAAGUGAACUAGUUCUUAUCAGAACCAGUAUUUUUUUUUUUUUUUUUUUUUUUGAGAGAGAGUCU